GGACUAUAGAGAAUUAUCAACAGGCUUUUGCUUUAGCAAAUGUCAUGCUACCAGAAGAAUGGUGCAGUUUGCAGUGGCAACCAGCCAGUACUCUCUCAUGAGGAAGAAUCAAUUUGCAGGGUAUUGAAUAAACCCUUGGGCUCUGCUGUGGAGAGGUGACCACCCAUGAAAACAACUGACAUGAAAAAACCACAAGAUGAGCUGCCAUCUUAGUAAACAUGAAGUAUGAAGGCAGAGAGUGGCUGUCGAUGUAUUUUCAGCUCUGAUGUAGGGACUGGCAGCUCCCAUUCAGCAGGUCUUUGCAUCUGGCUGAUCCAUAGACAGAACGUGGUUUUUCCAUUUCCUGACUUGAGGUGUAAAACCAACACAACUCUGUGCUGUGCCAUGUGGC